GUAAUUGGUAGAGGAGCAUUCUUAUAUGCGACGAAGCUGUACCGUAAGGAGCAGUGGAGAAAUAAGAAGAGAGAAUGCCGGAAUGAGUAGCGAGAGAAAGGUGAGAAUCCUUUCGGCUGAAUAUCCAAGGUUUCCAGCGUAAAGCUGAUCUGCGCUGGGUAAGUCGGGACCUAAGGAGAGGCCGCGAGGCGUAUCCGAUGGACAACAGGUUUAGAUUCCUGUACCGCACAUAAUCAGAACUGUAGGGACGCAUGUGGAGAGCACGAGCCGGGAAUGGAAAAACCGGUACAAGCGAGGUAGAUGGCUGUUAGGCAAAUCCGGCAGUCAAAUCGAAGACGUGAUGUGGAGCGAACUUAAGUAGCGAAGCGUGUGAGCCAUGUGCCGAGAAAAGCUGCUAUUGUGUUAUGUGUGCCCGUACCGUAAACCGACACAGGUGGAUGAGGAGAGAAUCCUAAGGCCGACGGAAGAAGCAUUGUUAAGGAAUUCGGCAAAAUGACCCCGUAACUUCGGGAGAAGGGGUGCCUCGAAAGAGGCCGCAGAGAAUAGGCUCAAGCAACUGUUUAGCAAAAACACAGGUCUAUGCGAAACCGAAAGGUGAAGUAUAUGGGCUGACGCCUGCCCGGUGCUGGAAGGUUAAGAGGAGAGGUUAGCUUCGGCGAAGCUUUGAAUUUAAGCCCCAGUAAACGGCGGCCGUAACUAUAACGGUCCUAAGGUAGCGAAAUUCCUUGUCGGGUAAGUUCCGACCCGCACGAAAGGCGUAAUGAUUUGAGCACUGUCUCGACAAUGCAUCCGGUGAAAUUGAAGUACCAGUGAAGAUGCUGGUUACCCGCGCCAGGACGGAAAGACCCCAUGGAGCUUUACUCCAGUUUGAUACUGGGAUUCGGUAUUGCACGUACAGGAUAGGUGGGAGACAAAGAAGAAUGGACGCCAGUCUGUUUGGAGUCGCUGUUGGGAUACCACCCCUGCAAUACUGGGUUUCUAACCUGUGGCCGUAAUCCGGUCAGGGGACAAUGUCAGGCGGGGAGUUUGACUGGGGCGGUCGCCUCCGAAAGGGUAUCGGAGGCGCUCAAAGGUUCCCUCAGAAUAGUUGGAAACUAUUUGCAGAGUGCAAAGGCAUAUGGGAGCUUGACUGCGACACCGACGGGUGGAGCAGGUACGAAAGUAGGACUUAGUGAUCCGGUGGUAUAAAGUGGGAUUGCCAUCGCUCAACGGAUAAAAGCUACCCUGGGGAUAACAGGCUUAUCACUCCCAAGAGUUCACAUCGACGGAGUGGUUUGGCACCUCGAUGUCGGCUCAUCGCAUCCUGGGGCUGUAGCAGGUCCCAAGGGUUGGGCUGUUCGCCCAUUAAAGCGGUACGCGAGCUGGGUUCAGAACGUCGUGAGACAGUUCGGUCCCUAUCCGGCGCGGGCGGAGGAAAUUUGAGAGGAGCUGUCCUUAGUACGAGAGGACCGGGAUGGACGGACCACUGGUGUAUCUGUUGUCGACCAACGGCAUAGCAGAGUAGCCAAGUCUGGAAGGGAUAAACGCUGAAGGCAUCUAAGCGUGAAGCCCCCCUCAAGAUGAGAUUUCCCCUCCUAUAAGGAGAUAAGACCCCUGAGAGACUAUCAGGUAGAUAGGGCAGAGGUGGAAGCAUGGUAACAUGUGGAGCUGACUGUUACUAAUCGGUCGAAGGCUUGACCAA
rnacentral:rRNA from 1 species